AUUGAACGCUGGCGGCAGGCCUAACACAUGCAAGUCGAGCGGCAGAAGAGUGCUUGCUUGUGCUUACAGCUGCCGACGGGCGAGUGAUGCCUAGGAAUAUCCCUGGUAGCUGUUUCUAACGUCAGGACGCGGGCACUCAUACCGCAUUCGUCCAGACGGCGUACGUGGGAGAUCAUCGGAUCUUCCGCUCUCAGACGAUCCAAGGUGGGAUUAGCUAGUUGGGGGGGUAAAGGCCUACCAAGGCGACGAUCCGUAACUGGUCUGAGAGGAUGAUCAGUCACACUGGAACUGAGACACGGUCCAGACUCCUACGGGAGGCAGCAGUGGGGAAUAUUGGACAAAGGGCGAAAGCCUGAUCCAGCCGUGCCGCGUGUGUGAAGAAGGCCUUCGGAUUGUAAAGCACUUUUGGUGGGGAAGAAAAGCAGUAGGUUAAUACCUUGCUGUUUUGACGUUACCAACAGAAUAAGCACCGGCUAACUUCGUG
rnacentral:rRNA from 1 species